UUGAGUUAUUUCCUAAAUGGUUAUUAAAACAGGUUAGACGUUGAAUCCUAUUAGGUCUUUUAUUAUAUUCUACGAUCGGAACUUUGAAAAAUUAAUUAUUAUCUGACUUAAAUUUUUUUAGGUACCGACUAUGAUGGAGAGACAUUGUUCCAAUGAAUUAAUAGUCCUUGCUCGAGGUCCGAACAAUAUUGUCAACAGAUAUGAUGGGUUC
rnacentral:lncRNA from 1 species